UGGGUGUGGAAUUAGCAACUCCCUCCCACUCCAUGGGACUUUACAUGAUCUACCCACAAGUCAAACAACAGUUACUUUCAAAGCGAUUUAGCGCCAUAAUUGUAAUUUCUUCAACCACCCAUUUUCCAUAUCAUCCUCCUCCUCACGAAUAAAACACUCAAAUUACAAAUAAAUAAAUAAAAUUAAUAAAAAGGCACCAACUGUAAUUUUUGUUUUUGACAGAAGGCACACGUCUCUGAUCUGAGAGAGCCUGAACAGGGCACCACCACCCAAUUGAUUAGAUUAGUGUUUCUCAUUUUCUCUGUACAAACCACAUACACCUACCAGGUAUGCAAGUUAAUUAGCUUCAAUUUAAAAAUCAAUCAAUACCUUUAUUCAAAUUCAUUUGUGAUUUGUUGGUGUUCCAUCUUUCUGCAUAAUCAUUGGGAUCCUGUCAGGGAUAUAUGUUAAUAUAUGUCAUUGGAAUGAACCAAGAAUGGACUUUACUUUCUUGGUUGAUGUAUUGAUCUGCUCAAAUACCAACACGUCAUGUAAUCUUCCUAAUAGAACUGUACUGUACCUUACCUUGUAAAAUAAACCAAUUUCUCACUGGUUUAGAAAACAAAAAACCAAAGCAUAGAAAGAAGAAAGAAAACAAAUAAUCAAUGUUCAACCAAUACCAUGAAUCCAUGAUGAUGAAUAAGUAAGAUUGUUUCACGAUGAACCAGGACAGGUAGUCCAACAAUUAAGAAGGGAAGAUUGAAUAAGAAAUAAGGGGAAAAUGUCUGCAACUGUGAAGGACAUGGUGAUGAGGUUGACAAGUCAUGUAGCUGCUAAAAGAGUGGUACUGUUGAAGCACAAGUAUGUAGAUCACACUCAGAUUGAUUUUCUUAGAGGGAAUAAUUACCGUAAAGCGUCGGUUCAUUUGAACCGGUCGUGCAGUCGAGUUCAGCUCGCUCGCUGUCAGGAAGUAUUGCAAUUCAGUGCAAAUGGAUUCACCAACCUCAAGCCCGAGAAAGGAAAGCGACAGCUUGGAAGCUGGUCCAGAUCACAAGCCAUCCUAACCCCGGUUUUAGACCCGACUCCAACCAUGAAGAAGUAGCUAUAGUUGUUCUGUUUGUCCUUUUGAGAAGAUACUUUACUGGACAUACCAAAAACACAGAUGGAACUCCUCAAUUCAAGGCUGGUCAUACUAAGUUUGGUACUGCCAUAGAUGGAGUUAUUAAGAUUUUCACUGUUGCAGUCACUAUUGUGGUUGUUGCAGUGCCUGAAGGGCUUCCCUUAGCCGCUACCUUAACCCUUGCCUACUCAAUGAGGAAAAUGAUGUCAGACAAGGCCUUGGUCAGGAGGCUUUCUGCCUGUGAAACCAUGGGCUCUGCUACUACCAUUUGCAGUGACAAAACUGGGACCUUAACGUUAAAUCAGGUGGUUUUUCAAUAUAGUUGGAGAUUCAAGAUGCCCCAUAUCUGACACUUGGUGGCAAACAGAGACAGGUGGCUUUAUGGUAGGUUUUUCCCUCCCUUCUUCUCGGUAUAUCUGCUGGCUCUUGAAACAAUUUCUUUUCUACAUAUUACUAUGUUCUAGAGUCGAUAAAAUAUAUAUGGGAAACUACUGAACUCAAUCACUUGCUGCAAGGAAAUUAUAAUCUGGGAAUUGACUCAAUGAUCAGAUCAUAGAUUUUAAGUUCAAAACCCUUGCUCAGUCCCAAUUUGACCGGAAUAGAUCUACUAAUUCUUUGGUUCCAAGUAGUAGGACGUAUCUUGAACUAAAAAUACACCCUAAAAGCUAAAAAAAAAGGUUUUUAUUUCUCAUCUGGGGUAACAACUAUUGUAAUUGCAACACAAUUCCCCCUGUUGCUUCCAGAUUACUCCUUUACCUGGAUAUGUAAUAUGGUUUUCUUUUUCACAUUUAUUAUUCAUGGCUUGACUUUUCAUGUUGUAAAUUGCUAGUUUAGAUGAAUUCAAGUUUCUUUUUUUCUUGGAAUAGUAGCCAUCAAGCUAAGGUA